rnacentral:rRNA from 1 species
AUUGAACGCUGGCGGCAUGCUUUACACAUGCAAGUCGAACGGCAACAGGGAGCUUGCUCCGCUGACGAGUGGCGAACGGGUGAGUAAUGCGUCGGAACGUGCCGAGUAGUGGGGGAUAACGCAUCGAAAGGUGUGCUAAUACCGCAUACGAACUGAGGUUGAAAGUGGGGGACCUUCGGGCCUCACGCUAUUCGAGCGGCCGACGUCUGAUUAGCUCGUUGGUGAGGUAAAGGCUCACCAAGGCGACGAUCAGUAGCGGGUCUGAGAGGAUGAUCCGCCACACUGGGACUGAGAAACGGCCCAGACUCCUACGGGAGGCAGCAGUGGGGAAUUUUGGACAAUGGGCGCAAGCCUGAUCCAGCCAUGCCGCGUGUCUGAAGAAGGCCUUCGGGUUGUAAAGGACUUUUGUCCGGGAGCAAAUACCCAGUGCUAAUAACGCUGGGGGCUGAGAGUACCGGAAGAAUAAGCACCGGCUAACUACGUGCCAGCCGCCGCAGUAAAAC